UACGUAGGGGGCGAGCGUUGUCCGGAUUUAUUGGGCGUAAAGAGCGUGUAGGCGGUUCGGUAAGUCUGUCGUGAAAUCCUGAGGCUCAACCUCGGGCGUGCGAUGGAUACUGCCGGGCUAGAGGGUGGUAGAGGCGAGUGGAAUUCCCGGUGUAGCGGUGAAAUGCGCAGAUAUCUGGAGGAACACCGAUGGCGAAGGCAGAUCUCUGGGCCGUAACUGACGCUGAGGAGCGAAAGCAUGGGGAGCGAACAGG
rnacentral:rRNA from 1 species